UGAGGAAUAUUGCGCAAUGGGGGAAACCCUGACGCAGCAACGCCGCGUGGAUGAUGAAGGCCUUCGGGUCGUAAACUCCUUUUGGACGGGACGAAAGUGCCGCGGCGAUGAUCCUCGGACCCUGAUAGUUCUGUACGAACAACCACCGGAUAACUCAGGGGCCGCACCCUUGUUCAAUAAUUAAUGGUGCUUAACGGUGUUCUAAAUUACUGGAGCAUAUACCGACGUGUGAAUCUUACUUGCUUAACCCUAUAUCUAACCUCCUCAAACUCUUUUACUUAAGUGCAUCUGAGAAGGGCAGGAUUUCCUACUGUAGAGGGAAGUGGAAUUCACAUCUGGAAAGAUGAACUUCGUAGAUAACGGGACUAACACCCUGGGCUAACGCUGACUCCUGGACCCAUGCUGACCCUAAGACAUGAAAUCCCGUGGAGCACCCCGGAUUAGAUACCCUGGUAUACGUCUCGGUAUACGAUGGGCACUAUGUGUGAGGGGAUCCUCUCCUGCCCCGCCUGGGUAACGCAUUACGUGGCCCACCUGCAGAGUACUUCCCCGAGGAUGACACUCUCGGA
rnacentral:rRNA from 1 species